rnacentral:tRNA from 1 species
GUCGUGGUGGCCGAGUGGUUAAGGCGUUGGACUCGAAAUCCAAUGGGGUUUCCCCGCACAGGUUCGAAUCCUGUCUACGACG